rnacentral:rRNA from 1 species
GAUGAACGCUGGCGGCGUGCCUAACACAUGCAAGUCGAACGAAGCACUUUCCUUGAUUCCUUCGGGAUGAUUUUUAAGUGACUGAGUGGCGGACGGGUGAGUAACGCGUGGAUAACCUGCCUUAUACAGGGGGACAACAGCUGGAAACGGCUGCUAAUACCGCAUAAGCGCACAGUAUCGCAUGAUACGGUGUGAAAAACUCCGGUGGUAUAAGAUGGAUCCGCGUCUGAUUAGCUAGUUGGUGAGGUAGAGGCUCACCAAGGCGACGAUCAGUAGCCGACCUGAGAGGGUGACCGGCCACAUUGGGGCUGAUACACGGCCCAGACUCCUACGGGAGGCAGCAGUGGGGAAUAUUGCACAAUGGGGGAAACCCUGAUGCAGCAACGCCGCGUGAAGGAAGAAGUAUCUCGGUAUGUAAACUUCUAUCAGCAGGGAAGAAAAUGACGGUACCUGACUAAGAAGCCCCGGCUAAAUACGUGCCAGCAGCCGCCGUAAUAC